AUACGGAGGAUCCGAGCGUUAUCCGGAUUUAUUGGGUUUAAAGGGUGCGCAGGCGGGAGAUUAAGUCGGCGGGGAAAUUUUGCAGCUCAACUGUAAAAGUGCCUUCGAAACUGGUUUCCUUGAGUGUAGAUGAAGUAGGCGGAAUUUGUGGUGUAGCGGUGAAAUGCAUAGAUAUCACGAGGAACUCCGAUUGCGCAGGCAGCUUACUAAACUACUACUGACGCUCAGGCACGAAGGCGUGGGGAUCAAACAGGAUUAGAUACCCUGGUAGUCCACGCAGUAAACGAUGAUUACUAGCUGUUUGCGAUACAAUGUAAGCGGCUGAGCGAAAGCGUUAAGUAAUCCACCUGGGGAGUACGUUCGCAAGAAUGAAACUCAAAGGAAUUGACGGGG
rnacentral:rRNA from 1 species